rnacentral:lncRNA from 1 species
GCUAUCCAAAUAUUUGGCUAGAAUUGGUCGCAGAUAUUGAAUCCGCAUAAUCUGUUAUCACCGUGGUGAUGGUGUUGGUAUUGGUCUUUGUCUUUGCUUGUUUGCUUUGUUUUUUCCAUGAAACAUUUUUACACCGUUUAUGAUGUGUAUAGAUUGGAUACUCUACGAUAUUCUUUUACGGAAUCAAUUAAUUGACAGCAUUUCCAAGACAUUGUCUUAAGUGACAUGGAUCCCAUUAUAGUAAAUGUUAUGUUGAUACAGCAAUCGAAGUGGAUUCUCAGGAACGCCUCUUUUUGCUGUAUUGGAAUCUUGUAACAUCUCAGUGAUAGACAUCUCACUGACAUCAGGUGCUGUUGUGCUAAAAAUGUUAACAGGUCAAAUCUGUGGAAAAAUCUUUACA